GACGAACGCUGGCGGCGUGCCUAACACAUGCAAGUCGAGCGGACCGACCCCGUCUCUUCGGAGAUGGGACAGGUUAGCGGCGAACGGGUGAGUAACACGUGGGUAACCUGCCCCGAAGAUCGGGAUAACUCCGGGAAACCGGGGCUAAUACCGGAUCCCUUGCCUUCACCGCAUGAUGAGGGCAAGAAAGGUUGCUUUGCUUCCGCUUCGGGAUGGACCCGCGGCCCAUUAGCUUGUUGGUGAGGUAACGGCUCACCAAGGCUACGAUGGGUAGCCGGCCUGAGAGGGUGUCCGGCCACACUGGGACUGAGAUACGGCCCAGACUCCUACGGGUGGCAG
rnacentral:rRNA from 1 species